GACGAACGCUGGCGGCGUGCUUAACACAUGCAAGUCGAACGGAAAGGCCCUGCUUUUGUUGGGUUCUCGAGUGGCGAACGCGUGUGUAUCACGUGUGUAACCUGCCCUUGUCUUUGGGAUAUCUUCAGGAAACUCGGGCUAUUAUCGGAUAGGAGCUCCUGCUGCACGGUGUUGGUUGGUAAGUUUCGGCGGUUGUGGCUCGACUCGCUGCUUAUCCGCUUGUUGGUGAGGUAGUGGCUUACCAAGGCUUUGAGGGGUAGCCGGCCUGAGAGGGUUACCGGCGACAAUGGGACUGAGAUACGGCGCAGAAUGCAACGGGAGGCAACAGUGGGAAAUAUUGCAGAAUGGGGGGAAGCGUGAGGCAGAAACGCCGGGAGCGGGAUGACGGCCUACGGGUUGAAAACAGAUUUCGAAUGUGACGAAGCGGGAGUGACGGUAAUGGGUAAAGAAGCACCGGCUAACUACGUG
rnacentral:rRNA from 1 species